rnacentral:rRNA from 1 species
AUUCCCUCAGUAACGGCGAGCGAAGAGGGAUAAGCUCAAAUUUUAAAUCUGUUGGGUUUCACCUAACAGAGUUGUAUUUUGAAGAAACGUUUUCUGCGUCCAGGAUUAGCCUAAAUCCUUUGGGAUAAGGUAUCAUGGAGGGUGAGAAUCCCGUUCAUGGUUAAUCUUAAGGAUGCUCUACGAUACGUUCUCCAAGAGUCGAGUUGUUUGGGAUUGCAGCUCAAAAUGGGAGGUAAAUUUCUCCUAAGGCUAAAUAUUGGCGAGAGACCGAUAGCGAACAAGUACCGUGAGGGAAAGAUGAAAAGAACUUUGAAAAGAGAGUUAAACAGUACGUGAAAUUGUUGAAAGGGAAACGAUUGAAGUCAGUCAUACCAACGGGAAAUCAACCUUUUGAGUUUGGUCUCGUGGGUUUUGAAGAGUUUAAAAGCCUUCGGAUUUUCGAGAUUGGGUUCUUCUGGUGUACUUUCUCGUACGGUUAGUCAACAUCGGUUUUGAAUGUCAUAAAAUGACUGGAGGAAUGUGGCUUCGAUCUCGUAUUGAAGUGUUAUAGCCUUUGGUAGAUGUGAUGUUCAAGACCGAGGAUUGCAACGGAUACCCUUCUGGGCUAUUCGUCUGAUCUCUGAAACGUUGCCUUGAUGUCGAAAGCUUGCUUAUGAUGUUAGGGUAUUACGAUCAAAAGGUUAGAACGGAUUAAAUUCGUUAAGGAUGUUGACGUAAUGACUUUAAACGACCCGUCUUGAAACACGGACCAAGGAGUCUAAC